ensembl:lncRNA
UUUCAUUCCCCCCCUAAGAGACAGACAUUUUAUCAUGCCCUCCCUGAAUUGAAAUAGCCUACUAUUGAGAACCUGCUAAUAUUUAUUUAUUUAGAUUAAUAAAAAUUAACGGAGAUAACAUCUGCAACAACUUAAAACUAUUUCCAACUUCAGUUUUGUAACAAAUUUGUAACAUUUAAACAAAACUGCUAAGUCUGUGUGAAUCUCAAAACAGAGAAACAAGAGCAAAUGAUUCACUGGGUUUUGCAUUUAAUUAUAAUAUUUCUAAAAAGUAAACAUUGGUCACUUGUCAGCUUCAUCAGCUUAUUCCCUUUCAAAAAAAAUAAUAUAUGUUCAUCUUUAAAGCAUGAAUAAAGACACCAAGUCCCUCUGUCAUGACUUAUUAAGAUCAAAAGUCUUGUAAAACUUCUGACCCUUGGUUUUAUGUUUAUUCAAAAUAAAAUAAGUAACCUAUUAAAAUAAAUAAAUGCAUAAGACACUAAGUCCCCUCUGCUGCUCACUGACACUUUUAAUCAGCUGAGUCUCAUAGUAUUAGAACAUAUUGUACUUGUUGAUUAGCUCACGUUGUAAUGGCAAUGAAUACGCCCUCAGCUGAUAAACUAAUGCCAGCAUUUUUUUUCAACAGAAAAUUAGCGCCCAUAUCAACAUAUAUUUGAUAUUUUUCUGCUCCUUGCGCCUAAUCAUGCUUAUCAUGCUACCCAGCAUCACAAGGCUCUGCCGACUAAAACAUGAAGCAAUUCAAGAAGAGGCGUUUGCUUAGCUUACUCUCGGCAGGGCUUGGCGCCGACGUUGGGCGUUAAAGCUCACUCCACACGGAGCGUGGCCGCUUCAACGGCUCUACUCAAGGGCGUUUCGGUGGAAGACAUCUGCGCGGCUGCGUCUUGGUCUUCCCCCGGCGCCUCUGUCCGUUUUUACAUGUUAGACAUGUCCAGGGGUUCACUCGGCAACUCUGUGCUGGAGUCCGGGACCCCUUUUACGGCUUAAGAAUAUAGACAUGUUCUUUAAAGCGGCGUGGUUGGAUUUCCUCUCGCCGGCUGGCGAGUUGGACUUGACUACCAGUCUUACUCUCCCACCGUUUUUCAAAUGAAAAACCGGCUAGGGGUUUUUUCUAUUGGCCCGCCAAUUGUCAGGUGUUUUUUUGUUUGCCAGUAUGGCACUCCCGCCGUUUCUUUCAAAUAAGAAACGGCCGAGAGAGACCACUUAUUGGAGAGCCGGAAUCCGUAGCUCCGCCCCCGGUGGUAGCGGACCUAAUGGAAACCGUAUUGCUCUGGUUUUUCUUUUCCUUUUCGUGGGUUCCAUGAAGCACGGAUUAGAGUCGGAGUCUUUAAAGACUCACUUUUCUCUCUCUUGAUCAUUGCCUUGCUUGAUCUAGGUGGAAUUCGUUUUUUAUUAAGCUGUUGUGUUUUACACUUCCUUGGCUUUUUGAGUCUUAAUGUGCUCUGGUGACUUAGGUCGUUUUGACUGGGGUCCAGCAGGAGUACAUUGAUCGGGCUCCGCUCGCAGCUUCACCUUAGCCCAUAAGGCGAAGCCUAGACGGCGUAGCCUACAUGAAAUAGAACGAUAGUUUUGUUAUUAUAACUCUAGUUCUAUGAUUGUAGGCGUAGCCGUCUAGUUUCCCACCUGCUGUACCCUCCAAAUGGUGAAAGAAAAGCGUGGAGGAUGAGCGACGGUAUACACCGCAUUAUAUAGACACGAUACCGUGGGAAAUGUGGGCGGUACCCACGCUGAUAGGUGCAUAGUUUGACAUUUUCACGGGACAUGCCCAUAAGGCGAAGCCUAGACGGCUACGCCUACAAUCAUAUAACUAGAGUUAUAAUAACAUAACUAUCGUUCUCCAGGCCCUAGUGCAGGGCGAACCCACUUCGCCAAAAGGAAGGGCGUGGCUACUCAGGCUAGCAGAAAGGACUUUCUGAAGCCAAACCUCUCCCAUGUAGGCUACUUAAGUUCUUACGUCGUUAAGUCAGGUCAGAGUCAGGUCAUUCUGCCUCAUCCGACACCAUGGGUAAUUCUCCCCCAUCAUCCGGCCCCACGGGCUUCCAGGUCAUAGUGAUCCCACAGGCACAGCAGCACGAAAAGAUAAUGAACAUCUUCAUCGACCUGUGUGACACUGAAGAACAGAUGAAGGCGAUCACAGUUCAGCAGCUCAAGUUGAAGAUAGCCAAGCAGGUGCAUGAGGACAAUUGGGACCGCGUCGUCCUGAUCUUCGAUGGCACACUAAUGGCUGAAAGGAAUACCUUGGUCUCUUAUGGAGUUAAAGACAAAUCCGUUAUCCAAAUGAGUUAUUGGGAAUAUUUUUAUUUGUGAGUCGUUUGCCCACUGCAAUUGCAUAGUAUUGGUUGACGAAUGUUCUAGCCUACAUUAUGAAUGAUUGUCAUCGUCGGCUUGUUGGAUGACUUUAUGACGUAUUAAACCGAAUGCCUGGACAAUAUGUAUUUUGAUUAGUUGAAUCAUGCAUCAACUCAAUUUAAUCACGAAUCUAUAUGCGCAGACAGGGACAUGGUAAUGUCUGUAGGCAUUUUUACGGUAGCCUAUCUUAAAAUAAUUAUCCAUAGUAGCAGUGUUUCCCCUAGGAUGGAGUUGCAGCAGCGGAGGUGAAAUGUUAUGUUUUUCGCGCGCAAUUUUUUUUGUGUGCUCGCAAACCGCACCCUGCCGGGAGGUUUCUAUGUCUACUGGCAACAUACAUACAGUACAUUUGUUUUGUGCACAUUAAUGAGCAGGGGAAAUAAGGAGAGAUUGAACAUAUUACGAGUAUAAUCUUUAAAAACAUUAUUUACAUUUAUUUAACAAAAAAUAUUUAUAUCAACAACCACCCUAUACAUUAAAAUCCCAUAACCCAAAUACUAAAACAAUCGAAAAGGUCUGUGCCUCAAACCAAUGCAUCUUCCCACUCCCUCCCCUCUCCCCAUCACAAAGGUUGUAGUAGGAGCAUAAAUAGGCCAUGCCUCUAUUGAACAAGUUUUGGGGCUCUAGAGUCAAUAAUGGUGACGCUACUGAAAAUGUUGCUAAAAAAAAAUGUGUAUUGACAUUUUUGCUAAAAAGAAAUUUCUUAGAAAUAAGUAGAGAUAUAUUUUUCAAAACAUAAGGUUGCAGUAAGACCAUAAAGAGCCCAUGCAUACGGAAAACGUUUUAGGGAUCUAGAGUCAAUAAUGGCAACCAGGGGCGAGUCUAGGUUCUGACUUUUGGGGGGGCUCAACCCCAGGCAGCUGCAGUGGUAUAUGAAGUAUAUAAAGUCCUGUGCAAGAUUUUUUUUUUUCCACAUCCUUUAUUUUCUUAGUUACUAUGCUGUUGCAUGUCUAAGCCAAUAGCUGGCAGUGUCAUCUAAAUAAUGCAGUUCUGAACCACUAAAGUGAUGAAAUUAAAAAAGACUGUUUGAAUGAAAGGAUAAUCAAUGGUUGUGAACUCGAAUAACAAAAUUAAGGUAUAUUAAAUUUCUUUUGUGUAAGUUCACUCAAAAAUUACCAUAUUUUCCUGAAUAUGUUACUGAAACACGUUGGUACAAGAUGAUGUCGGCUCACUUUCAUGGACCCAUACAAUUUAUAAAUUGUAUCAACAUACAUUUUUAUAAAACUUCUGAUAUACAACAUGUACUAGUCGAAUACUAUGAGAAACAGACCACUAUUUCGGGAGCACUAAACUAUGUUGUCUCACCUUCAGGGACCCAUACAUUUUUAUAAAACUUCUGAUGCCAAAAAAUCUUGUUGUUCUGAAGCAAAAAAAAAGGGUGCUAAUUUUCAGUUUAAAAAUAACUGCUGGUUACUGAUUAUUUUAUCAGCUGAGGGCGUUUUCAUUGCCAUAACAACGUGAGGUAAUCAACAAGUACCACAUGUUCUAGACCAGUGGUUCUCAAUCAUUUUUCUUUCAUUCCCCCCCUAGGAGACAGACAUUUUAUCAAGCCCUCCCUGAAUUGAAAUAGCCUACUAUUGAGAACCUGCUAAUAUUUAUUUACUUAGAUUAAUAAAAAUGAACGGAGAUAACAUCUGCAACAACUUAAAACUAUUUCCAACUUCAGUUUUGUAACAAAUUUGUAACAUUUAAACAAGACUGCUAAGUCUGUGUGAAUCUCAAAACAGAGAAACAAGAGCAAAUAAUUCACUGGGUUUUGCAUUUAAUUAUAAUAUUUUUAAAAAGUAAACAUUGGUCACUUGUCAGCUUCAUCAGCCUAUUCCCUUUCAAAAAAAAUAAUAUAUGUUCAUCUUUCAAGCAUGAAUAAAGACACCAAGUCCCUCUGUCAUGACUUUGUAAGAUCAAAAUUCUU